UCACCCUGAACACACCCAGUCUUGUCUGAUCUCAGAAACUAAGCAUGGUCAGGCCUUGGCAGUACUUGACUGAGAAAUUACUAGAAAACAGGA
rnacentral:rRNA from 1 species